rnacentral:misc_RNA from 1 species
GGUAGAUUGCCAUGUGGAAGUAAUGAUGUCAAUGCCUGAGAUGGAAGUAACUAGGGUAAUUAUCAUUGGAGGUCACCCAACUUUAUGAUAGUUUUCACUAAAGUCAUUAAACUUCAAUUUCAUUCAAAAAAAUCAUUGGACUUCAAUUUUGCAUAAAACAAACUCAUUGUUCCAACUUCCAUCCAAACCUCUGUCCCAGUGAUGAUAUGGCAAAUCUACGUGGAUAAACCAAUUAAUAUAUAUACUCACAUAAGAUAUUUGACUUCGAAAUUCUUCUUUCUCUCUCACAAGACUCUUCAUCGAUCUGAG